rnacentral:lncRNA from 1 species
UGAAAGAGUGGGAGAAUCCCAAGAAAGCACAAAAAUCAACAAAGUGAGUUCCAUGAGAUUGUCAAGUUCCAAAAGCAGUCCUGCUUGACCUUUCUCAGAGAGUCUCUGCUGUCCCUCCCAGACAGCAGGCUGCUUUCUUGAGUCACUGAGAUGGCAACACUGCCAGGCACAGCACUCCCUGUGGUUCCUGCUGUGGCUAUACCCAGCCAUCAGUUUUCCAUAGUGCUGGAGAUUAAGCUCCCAGUGAGCUAUAGGGUUUUAUUCUCCAGUUCUCACAGUUCCUCUGUUUUGAUUCCAUCUUGAAAUGGAAGCUCCUCCAUGUCUUCUUCCCCAUAUCCUAGAAGCAGCAUGAUCAGCCAAUGAUCACAAUAGCAGACCCUGAGAGGGGAAGUGAGGCAAGAACCCUUUCAGGUUUCUUGACUCAGCUGCAGAUGGGCAGGCCAGUGCCACGUGACCACUCAGCAAGACUGAACUAGAUCACCGGAUGCAGGUGUUUUUUAUAGCCACAGGUUUUCUAGGUCUAUAUAUGAAUUAAGAGAAGCCAUACAAGUUUUGCUCAGAAAUUCCCAAGGGUGCCUGCAUGGGAAAAGUACAGUCUCAAGCAAUAUCUAUAUUCUGGUUUCUAUGACUAGGAUUCAUUGACCACAAGAGAAAGACAAUAAGAGCUGUAACAUCUGCAUGCCACUAUCAAGCUUAUGUGGAGGUAGAGCUAUAAACUCGGGUGGAGACAAAAAGAACUGGGUUAUAUACAAGCUGCGUGUUUAUUAGGAAAUAGGAAGUCCAGAUAGUCUCUAAGAACUCCUUGCAAACAUUAUUUAAGAUGUUAUUUAAAAAGAGUGUGGUGGUGUGGAUGAGCAUGGCUCCCGUCAAGGUUUAUAUAUUUGAAUGCUUGGUCCCCGCUGCUUGAACUGUUUUGGAAAGCAUUAGCAGGUAUGGUCCUGUUGAGGGAGGUGUAUCAUUGGUUAAAGACCUCAAAGCUUUAAAAGUCUCUGUUUCUAAUUAGGUCUCUGCCUCCUGCUGUGGAUCAAGAUGCAGGCUGUCAGCCUCUGCUUCAGUGCCAUGCCUUCCUGCCUGCUGCCAUACUCCCCACUGUAAUGCUCAUGAACUCUUAAUCUUCUAGAACCAUGAACCCUUCAUAAGUUGUCUUGGUCAUGGUGUCUUGUCGUAGCAAUACAAAUGUAACUAAGACAGAAGGCUGGAGAGAUGGUUCAGAGACUAAGAGUGUAUAUUGCACUACAGAGGACUGGCAUUGGGUUCCCAGCAUCCAUGUGCAGCUAUAGCCACCUGUAACUCAACUCCAGGGAGUCUGAUGCCCUCUUCUGGCUUCCGUAGCCACUGCACUCAAGUGCACAGACACUAAUUACACACAACAAUUAAAAUCUUUAAAAAGAAGCAUACUAAGCCGGUCGUGGAGGCGCACUCCUUUAAUCCCAGCACUUGAGAGGCAGAGGCAGGAGGAUUUCUGAGUUUGAGGCCAACCUGGUCUACAAAGUGAGUUCCAGGAUAGCCAGGACUAUAGAGAGAAACCCUGUCUCAAAAAAUAAAACAAAACAGAACAAACCCAAAACAAAACAAAAACAAAAACAAAACCCCCCAAAAAAGCAUACUAUCAAUUUCACUUAUUUUUGGUGACUGGAUUUACAGUUUUCAGUGUAGAUAGAGACCGUUGUUAACCACUGAAUUCAGGAUACUGGUUCAAUCUACUACUACCUUAGCCUUUUCUUUGCUUUCUUGUCCUACAUAGUCUUAAGUCCUUACCAUCUUGUCCGUUACUUUUCUCAUCCCCGUGACCAGAUACGAGAAGCAACUUAAGGGAAGAGGAAUGGCCUUUGGCUCAUGGUUUGAGGGGAUACAGUUAACCAUGGCUCGUGGUGACUGGAGUAAGUUGUGUCUAUUUGUUAUAUUUUAGUGGACCAGGAAACAAAGCUUUAGUGGGAAGUGGAGCUGGGUGACAAUAAACGUCAAUCUGUAAAAAUUAAAAUAAUUUACAGAGAAUACAUGUUGUGAACAUGGGAUCAUGCCGCAUGUAACUGGCUUCCUGCACUCAGUGCAAGGGUUUCAAGGUUCAUGUCAUUACCCCUGGCAUCUGUAGCUUGCUGCCUUUGCUACACAGUGCAUCUGAGCAUGUAGUGCACACGUUGCUAAGCCGGCCAUCCCUGACAUCUGAGGAGAUUCCAGCUUCUGGAAAUUAUGAACACGGUUGCUACGUGUCAGGUAACUCAUCACAAAAGUAGAGCACAAUGUUUUCACAGUGAAGAAGUGAUCAAGCUUCGUCUCACUAAUAAUGGGAUAAACCAACAUCCUGAGCCCUCCAGCUGGGUUGUGCUAAGAAAGACACAAUGUUACUCCUGUACUGUUCUUGCUCAAAUGCAUAACCUGUCAAAAAGCAUGAGGAAAUGAUCAGACAAACCCAAGACAGGAGCAUUCUAUUAACCAAGUGACCGCUUCUCUAUAAAUAAGAAAAUGCCAUGGAAGACAAACACAGAAGAGGGAACUGUUCUGGACUGAAAACAAACAAGUCAAAAUAAUAAUAAUAAAGAAAAGGCCUUAAAGCCAUGUGGCAUAAGAGGCACUCAAAGGCAGUGUGAACGAACUUACAUGGAAUAGACUCUGUUCCCCAGGGCAGAAAGAAGGAAAUGCUCUUUGGAAAGCAGUCUUGUAUCAGUGCUAAUCUUCUGGAUUUCAAGAAAUGUGGUUGUGUAAGAGAAUAUAAGAUAACAUGUUUUUUUAUUUUUAGAAAGUUAGUGCUUCGGCAUUUAGAGAGAUCUGUAAACUAUUUUCAAGAAUGGAAAAGAAAGGAAGGGAGAUUAGAAAGAUUAAAAAAGAAAUGGUCAAGUUCCAUGUAGAAGGAGCAGUUCAUUCUUGCAACUCCCAAAGCAAAACAGAAGGGGAAAAAACAAAACAAAACAAAACAAAAAAAAAACAAUGUUCUCUGGAGACGAUUGCAGUUGUGGACAUUUUAAGAUUUAUUUAAACAUUUAAAAGAUAACAUUGAUGAUUGUUACCGACAAACGUUUUCCAAAGCAUUCUUUAAAUUACACAACCAUUGGGAAAACACCAGAAACUCAGUUUUAGAGAGCUGUACAGAUGGGUGCUGAUUAAAACAUGUGAGUCUACAAGUAAACACUUUGUUUUGUCAUGAUUUAUGAUUCAGGUAAAUUUGGUUUCUAAAGUGUUCAUUUCAAAUGCUUGAGAAAUAUGCCCUUUCUAGGAUUAAUUUUGCCUUUGAAAUAUAAUUUAUGGAUGGAAAUGUUUCAUAGAUUUUUCAAAUACUAUAAACUAUUUUGCUUAUAUUCCCAUUUCUCUAUUCAUGUCUCUCUCUCUCUCUAUAUAUAUAUAUAUAUAUACACACACACACACACACACACACACACACACACAUAUAUAUAUAUAUAUACAUAUAUAUAUAUAUCACAUAUACCCAAUAUAGAUACUGUACAUAUGUGUUUUAAUGUAAAUUUGUCUUGUAAAAGGAGGCAAAAUACUACCAAGUAGCAUAAGGAAAGCGAUUACUGGGAGAAGCAAUCAAGCCCUCCCCUCUACACGUCAGAAGUGAACUUCUCAUAAGUGGUGCUUUUAAGCAUUAGC